ACCAGGAUGGCCGAGAGGUUAAGGCGUUGGACUCAAGAUCCAAUAGACAUACGUCCUCGUUGGUUCGAAUCCCACUCCUGGUA